ensembl:snRNA U4 U4 spliceosomal RNA
AGCUUUGCGCAGUGGCAGUAUCAUAGCCAAUGAGGUUUAUCCAAGGCGCGAUUAUUGCUAAUUGAAAAAAGGUAUAUACAAGCCAAGCCUGGUGGUACAUGCCUGCCAUCUUAGCACUUUAGAGGCUGAUACUGGAG